rnacentral:rRNA from 1 species
CCUACGGGGUGCAGCAGUGAGGAAUAUUGGUCAAUGGGCGGGAGCCUGAACCAGCCAAGUCGCGUGAGGGAAGACGGUCCUAUGGAUUGUAAACCUCUUUAGGCGGGGAGCAAGGCCGGGCACGUGUGCCCGGAGGGAGAGGACCCGCAGAAGAAGCAGCGGCCAACUCCGUGCCAGCAGCCGCGGUAAUACGGAGGAUGCGAGCGUUAUCCGGAUUGAUUGGGUUUAAAGGGUGCGUAGGCGGAUUUUUAAGUCAGCGGUAAAAUGUCCGGGCUCAACCCGGGCCGGCCGUUGAAACUGGGGCUCUUGAGUGGGCGAGAAGUAUGCGGAAUGCGUGGUGUAGCGGUGAAAUGCAUAGAUAUCACGCAGAACUCCGAUUGCGAAGGCAGCAUACCGGCGCCCGACUGACGCUGAGGCACGAACGCGUGGGGAUCGAACAGGAUUAGAUACCCGUGUAGUC